rnacentral:rRNA from 1 species
UACGUAGGGUGCAAGCGUUAUUCGGAAUUACUGGGCGUAAAGCGUGCGCAGGCGGUUUUGUAAGUCUGUCGUGAAAUCCCCCGGCUCAACCUGGGAAUGGCGAUGGAGACUGCAAGGCUAGAAUCUGGCAGAGGGGGGUAGAAUUCCACGUGUAGCAGUGAAAUGCGUAGAGAUGUGGAGGAACACCGAUGGCGAAGGCAGCCCCCUGGGUCAAGAUUGACGCUCAUGCACGAAAGCGUCGGGAGCAAACAGG